GCUCCGGUGGUGCAGUGGUUAGCACGCGACCUCGGAAAGGAAUAGACGCGGGUACAACUCUUGUCCGAAGUU